rnacentral:lncRNA from 1 species
CAGCUUGAGUUAUUGGGGUAAUUAUCAGAUUUCACUUUGGGCCUUCGCAUUGCUGGGGGUGGUUGAAGAAAUAAAGCAUUAACUCACGCAGUUAA